UACGGAGGGUGCAAGCGUUGUCCGGAUUUAUUGGGUUUAAAGGGUGCGUAGGCGGCUUUUUAAGUCAGUGGUGAAAUCCAUCAGCUCAACUGAUGAACUGCCAUUGAUACUGGGAAGCUUGAGUACAGACGAGGUAGGCGGAAUUGACAGUGUAGCGGUGAAAUGCAUAGAUAUUGUCAAGAACACCGAUUGCGAAGGCAGCUUACUAGGCUGUAACUGACGCUGAGGCACGAAAGUGCGGGGAUCAAACAGG
rnacentral:rRNA from 1 species